AGAUUGAACGCUGGCGGCAGGCCUAACACAUGCAAGUCGAGCGGUAGAGAGGUGCUCGCAUCUCUUGAGAGCGGCGGACGGGUGAGUAAUGCCUAGGAAUCUGCCUAGUGGUGGGGGAUAACGUUCGGAAACGGACGCUAAUACCGCGUACGUCCUACGGGAGAAAGCGGGGGACCUUCGGGCCUCGCGCCAUUAGAUGAGCCUAGGUCGGAUUAGCUAGUUGGUGAGGUAAUGGCUCACCAAGGCGACGAUCCGUAACUGGUCUGAGAGGAUGAUCAGUCACACUGGAACUGAGACACGGUCCAGACUCCUACGGGAGGCAGCAGUGGGGAAUAUUGGACAAUGGGCGAAAGCCUGAUCCAGCCAUGCCGCGUGUGUGAAGAAGGUCUUCGGAUUGUAAAGCACUUUAAGUUGGAGGAAGGUUGUAACUUAAGUACGUUGCUAAUUUGACGUUACCGACAGAAUAAGCACCGGCUAACUCGCGCAGCAGCCGCGUAA
rnacentral:rRNA from 1 species